GAUCAUGGCUCAGAUUGAACGCUGGCGGCAGGCUUAACACAUGCAAGUCGAACGGUAACAUAAAGAAGCUUGCUUCUUUGAUGACGAGUGGCGGACGGGUGAGUAAUGCUUGGGAAUCUAGCUUAUGGAGGGGGAUAACUACGGGAAACUGUAGCUAAUACCGCGUAGUAUCGAGAGAUGAAAGUGUGGGACCUCGGCCGACCGACUGCCACUAGGAGUAGAGCCACGUAGGAGUAGGUAGUUGG
rnacentral:rRNA from 1 species